UACGAAGGGGGCUAGCGUUGUUCGGAAUUACUGGGCGUAAAGCGCACGUAGGCGGAUCGAUCAGUCAGGGGGUGGAAUCCCAGGGCUCAACCCUGGAACUGCCUUUGAUACUGUCGAUCUGGAGUAUGGAAGAGGUGAGUGGAAUUCCGAGUGUAGAGGUGAAAUUCGUAGAUAUUCGCAAGAACACCAGUGGCGAAGGCGGCUCACUGGCCCGGUACUGACGCUGAGGUGCGAAAGCGUGGGGAGCAAACAGG
rnacentral:rRNA from 1 species